rnacentral:rRNA from 1 species
CAGCCGUAAACUAUGCGCGUUAGGUGUAUCGGUGACCACGAGUUACCGAGGUGCCGAAGGGAAACCGUGAAACGUGCCGCCUGGGAAGUACGGUCGCAAGGCUGAAACUUAAAGGAAUUGGCGGGGGGAGGCACCACAACAGGUGGAGCCUGCGGUUUAAUUGGACUCAACGCCGGGAAGCUCACCGGAUAGGACAGCAGAAUGAUUGCCGGGCUGAAGACCCUGCAUGACUAGCUGAGAGGAGGUGCAUGGCGUCAGUGACU